AGUGAACGCUGGCGGUAGGCCUAACACAUGCAAGUCGAACGGCAGCACAGUAAGAGCUUGCUCUUACGGGUGGCGAGUGGCGGACGGGUGAGGAAUACAUCGGAAUCUACUUUUUCGUGGGGGAUAACGUAGGGAAACUUACGCUAAUACCGCAUACGACCUACGGGUGAAAGCAGGGGAUCUUCGGACCUUGCGCGAUUGAAUGAGCCGAUGUCGGAUUAGCUAGUUAGCGGGGUAAAGGCCCACCAAGGCGACGAUCCGUAGCUGGUCUGAGAGGAUGAUCAGCCACACUGGAACUGAGACACGGUCCAGACUCCUACGGGAGGCAGCAGUGGGGAAUAUUGGACAAUGGGCGCAAGCCUGAUCCAGCCAUACCGCGUGGGUGAAGAAGGCCUUCGGGUUGUAAAGCCCUUUUGUUGGGAAAGAAAAGCAGCAGGUUAAUACCCCGCUGUCCUGACGGUACCCAAAUAAUAAGCACCGGCUAACUUCGUG
rnacentral:rRNA from 1 species